CUAAAACUGGAUCAAUUAUAGGAGUGAAAUAAAGGUCCAUCUCCUGCCUAUUUAUUACUUUGCUUUGGUAAUAAAUCUAUUUUUAAAAGAACC
ensembl:miRNA MIR1243 microRNA 1243